CUUUAUAGCUGUUACAACAGGAAAUAACUUGUUUCACAAAUGUUCCAUAACAAUAAACAUGAAUGGGUUAAAAGU